rnacentral:rRNA from 1 species
AGUGAACGCUGGCGGUAGGCCUAGCACAUGCAAGUCGAACGGCAGCACAGUAAGAACUUGCUCUUACGGGUGGCGAGUGGCGGACGGGUGAGGAAUACAUCGGAAUCUACUUUUUCGGGGGGGAUAACGUAGGGAAACUUACGCUAAUACCGCAUACGACCUACGGGUGAAAGCAGGGGAUCUUCGGACCUUGCGCGAUUGAAUGAGCCGAUGUCGGAUUAGCUAGUUGGCGGGGUAAAGGCCCACCAAGGCGACGAUCCGUAGCUGGUCUGAGAGGAUGAUCAGCCACACUGGAACUGAGACACGGUCCAGACUCCUACGGGAGGCAGCAGUGGGGAAUAUUGGACAAUGGGCGCAAGCCUGAUCCAGCCAUACCGCGUGGAUGAAGAAGGCCUUCGGGUUGUAAAGCCCUUUUGUUGGGAAAGAAAAGCAGCAGGUUAAUACCCCGCUGUUCUGACGGUACCCAAAGAAUAAGCACCGGCUAACUUCGUG